CCUACGGGAGGCUGCAGUCGAGGAUCUUCGGCAAUGUGCGCAAGCACGACCGAGCGACGCCGCGUGGGCGACGAAGGCCUUCGGGUUGUAAAGCACUGUCGGGGGGGAGAAAGGGGCAACCUUGAUCUAUCCCUGGAGGAAGCACGGGCUAAGUUCGUGCCAGCAGCCGCGGUAAGACGAACCGGGCGAACGUUGUUCGGAAUCACUGGGCUUAAAGGGCGCGUAGGCGGGCUGGACAGUCCGUGGUGAAAUCCCCCGGCCCAACCGGGGAACGGCCUCGGAUACUUUCGGCCUGGAGGGAGGUAGGGGCGUGCGGAACUGUGGGUGGAGCGGUGAAAUGCGUUGAGAUCCACAGGAACUCCGGUGGCGAAGGCGGCACGCUGGACCUCACCUGACGCUGAGGCGCGAAAGCCAGGGGAGCGAACGGGAUUAGAUACCCUAGUAGUCC
rnacentral:rRNA from 1 species